AUUGAACGCUGGCGGCAUGCCUUACACAUGCAAGUCGAACGGCAGCACGGGUGCCUGCACCUGGUGGCGAGUGGCGAACGGGUGAGUAAUACAUCGGAACGUACCUUAUCGUGGGGGAUAACGCAGCGAAAGCUGUGCUAAUACCGCAUACGCCCUGAGGGGGAAAGCGGGGGAUCGAAAGACCUCGCGCGAUUAGAGCGGCCGAUGCCUGAUUAGCUUGUUGGUGGGGUAAAAGCCCACCAAGGCGACGAUCAGUAGCUGGUCUGAGAGGACGAUCAGCCACACUGGGACUAAGACACGGCCCAGACUCCUACGGGAGGCAGCAGUGGGGAAUUUUGGACAAUGGGGGCAACCCUGAUCCAGCAAUGCCGCGUGAGUGAAGAAGGCCUUCGGGUUGUAAGGCUCUUUUGUCAGGGAAGAAACACCGGCUCUAACACAGUCCGGGAAUGACGGUACCUGAAGAAUAAGCACCGGCUAACUACGUGCCAGCAGCCGCGGUAA
rnacentral:rRNA from 1 species